CUUGGUCAUUUAGAGGAAGUAAAAGUCGUAACAAGGUCUCCGUUGGUGAACCAGCGGAGGGAUCAUUACCGAGUUUACAACUCCCAAACCCCUGUGAACAUACCAAUUGUUGCCUCGGCGGAUCAGCCCGCUCCCGGUAAAACGGAACGGCCCGCCAGAGGACCCCUAAACUCUGUUUCUAUAUGUAACUUCUGAGUAAAACCAUAAAUAAAUCAAAACUUUCAACAACGGAUCUCUUGGUUCUGGCAUCGAUGAAGAACGCAGCAAAAUGCGAUAAGUAAUGUGAAUUGCAGAAUUCAGUGAAUCAUCGAAUCUUUGAACGCACAUUGCGCCCGCCAGUAUUCUGGCGGGCAUGCCUGUUCGAGCGUCAUUUCAACCCUCAAGCCCCCGGCUUGUGUUGGGGACCUGCGGCUGCCGCAGGCCCUGAAAUCCAGUGGCGGGCUCGCCGUGGCACCGAGCGCAGUAGCACACUUCUCGCUCCGGUAGCGCGGCGGGCGCCUGCCGUGAAAACCCCCACGUCUCAAGGUUGACCUCGGAUCAGGUAGGAAUACCCGCUGAACUUAAGCAUAUCAAUAAGCGGAGGA
rnacentral:rRNA from 1 species